AACGAACGCUGGCGGCAGGCUUAACUCAUGCAAGUCGAACGCCCCGCAAGGGGAGUGGCGCACGGGUGAGUAACGCGUGGGAAUAUGCCCUUCGGUUCGGAAUAACACAGGGAAACUUGUGCUAAUACCGGAUACGAUCUACGGAUGAAAGAUUUAUCGCCGAGGGAGUAGCCCGCGUAGGAUUAGCUAGUUGGUGAGGUAAUGGCUCACCAAGGCGACGAUCCUUAGCUGGUCUGAGAGGAUGAUCAGCCACACUGGGACUGAGACACGGCCCAGACUCCUACGGGAGGCAGCAGUGGGGAAUAUUGGACAAUGGGCGAAAGCCUGAUCCAGCCAUGCCGCGUGAGUGAUGAAGGCCUUAGGGUUGUAAAGCUCUUUCGCCAGGGAAGAGUAAUGACGGUACCGUGGAAAGAAGCUCGGCUAACUCCGUGCCAGCAGCCGCGGUAAU
rnacentral:rRNA from 1 species